UGGGGAAUAUUGGACAAUGGGCGAAAGCCUGAUCCAGCCAUGCCGCGUGCGCGAUGAAGGCCCUAGGGUUGUAAAGCUCUUUUGUGCGGGAAGAUAAUGACGGUACCGCAAGAAUAAGCCCCGGCUAACUUCGUGCCAGCAGCCGCGGUAAUACGAAGGGGGCUAGCGUUGUUCGGAAUCACUGGGCGUAAAGCGCACGUAGGCGGACUUUCAAGUCAGGGGUGAAAUCCCGGGGCUCAACCUCGGAACUGCCUUUGAUACUGUUGGUCUCGAGUCCGGAAGAGGGGGGUGGAAUUCCUAGUGUAGAGGUGAAAUUCGUAGAUAUUAGGAAGAACACCGGUGGCGAAGGCGGCCCACUGAUCCGGUACUGACGCUGAGGUGCGAAAGCGUG
rnacentral:rRNA from 1 species